rnacentral:piRNA from 1 species
UGUGCAUCGAGAUUAUCUUUCUUGGUUG